UCCCGUGCUCCCAUCUCACGAGCGGAGCGGCUGCCUCACGCAAGCGGCGGCGCGAAGCUCAUCCGCCGCCAGCUCGCUGCCGUCGUCGCCGCGCCUCCGCUCCAGGCUCCAGCGUCGUCUCCUACAACACCGGUAGCAGAUCCAGUAGAUCCAUGGAGGGGGAGGCAAAGUAGGCCAACGGCGGCCACCCCGAGUCCCCGUUCGUGGCCGGUCAAGCAAGCCGAGCAGCUAGCGACGAGCUCGGCCAAUCACCUGGACACUUGUCCCCUCCUGUUCCUGACCUGACCCGCAAAUCAAACGGGGUCCAGGCGGCAUCGUCAUCCCCGACCCCUAGCCCCUUCUCCCAGCAACCUUCAGCCUCCGCUGCGCUCCGGCUGGAAUGACUUAUUGUUCCCGAUUAGAUCCUGAACCUUCUUUAACCACGAGCACCAGAUGUUUGAGAGUUGAAAAUCUUGUUUCUUGCAAUAAUUCUGACAGAAACAAGUGAGGUUCCCCUCCAGAUUAGGUACAUUAGUGACAAAAACAUUUAGAUGUUGCCUCGCCUGAUUGUGAUCUUUAAAUUUUAAUAGAUACCUGUUCUGUCUUAUAUGUGCAAAGAUUGGCUUAUUGCCUCGCCUCCCGAUUAUAUGCUGCAUCAGGAAUGACUUAUUGUUCCCGAUUAGCUCGAUGAUUCCACAAACACUUGAAGCUCUAGUUUGCUGCAAAGAUUGGCUUUAUAAAUACCAGUGAAGGAAUCUUUGAUCUGCGAGGCUUCCGUGUUGAAAAUGGUGAUCUCCAGUUCUUAAAGUUUGUGAUGCACCAUUGGUAAGCCAAAGACAAAUAUAGCUGGGAGGGAUUGUAGAAGCUCGUCAAGAAGUCAAAGCACUCAAUAGAGUACAGUCGAUCAAGCUGGCUGGGGAUGGCGAUUUGCUGAGAAGAAGCUGAUGAUCUAGGAAGCGAUACAGAGGAGAUGUCUUUUUCACUGGAUUUCGGUGGCUGUACAAGCUCUAAUUUUGCACCAUUACAUGUUCCUGAAACGAUCUAACAGUCACAUGUGUGAGGCAUGGCUCUGUCUAUCUGAAAUCAUGUUUGACCUUGCGUAUGCUGGGUUUGCUUUUGGAACAUUGUCAUUCUGAACCUGAUAAUCGAUCUUCAGUGCGUUAUGACCUGAA